GGGCAUGUAGCUCAGUGGUAGAGCGCCCGCUUUGCAACAGACGUUCUUGAGCGUCUUAAAGCCUGCGGGAGGUCUAGGGUUCGAUCCCCUACCUGUCCA